rnacentral:rRNA from 1 species
CAGUCGCCGCGGGAAUACGUAGGUGGCAAGCGUUGUCCGGAAUUAUUGGGCGUAAGGGGCUCGCAGGCGGUUUCUUAAGUCUGAUGUGAAAGCCCCCGGCUCAACCGGGGAGGGUCAUUGGAAACUGGGAAACUUGAGUGCAGAAGAGGAGAGUGGAAUUCCACGUGUAGCGGUGAAAUGCGUAGAGAUGUGGAGGAACACCAGUGGCGAAGGCGACUCUCUGGUCUGUAACUGACGCUGAGGAGCGAAAGCGUGGGGAGCGAACAGGAUUAGAUACCCCCGUAGUCCCUGUCUCUUAUAC